rnacentral:rRNA from 1 species
UGUUCCCAUACCGAACACAGAAGUUAAGCCUUCUAACGCCGAUGGUACUCGGAGGGAGACCUCCCGGGAGACUAGGUAGUUGCCAAAC